rnacentral:rRNA from 1 species
AGAGUUUGAUCAUGGCUCAGAUUGAACGCUGGCGGCAGGCCUAACACAUGCAAGUCGAGCGGUAGCACAGAGAGCUUGCUCUCGGGUGACGAGCGGCGGACGGGUGAGUAAUGUCUGGGAAACUGCCUGAUGGAGGGGGAUAACUACUGGAAACGGUAGCUAAUACCGCAUAAUGUCGCAAGACCAAAGUGGGGGACCUUCGGGCCUCAUGCCAUCAGAUGUGCCAAGAUGGGAUUAGCUAGUAGGUGGGGUAAUGGCUCACCUAGGCGACGAUCCCUAGCUGGUCUGAGAGGAUGACCAGCCACACUGGAACUGAGACACGGUCCAGACUCCUACGGGAGGCAGCAGUGGGGAAUAUUGCACAAUGGGCGCAAGCCUGAUGCAGCCAUGCCGCGUGUGUGAAGAAGGCCUUCGGGUUGUAAAGCACUUUCAGCGGGGAGGAAGGCGAUAAGGUUAAUAACCUUGUCGAUUGACGUUACCCGCAGAAGAAGCACCGGCUAACUCCGUGCCAGCAGCCGCGGUAAUACGGAGGGUGCAAGCGUUAAUCGGAAUUACUGGGCGUAAAGCGCACGCAGGCGGUCUGUCAAGUCGGAUGUGAAAUCCCCGGGCUCAACCUGGGAACUGCAUUCGAAACUGGCAGGCUAGAGUCUUGUAGAGGGGGGUAGAAUUCCAGGUGUAGCGGUGAAAUGCGUAGAGAUCUGGAGGAAUACCGGUGGCGAAGGCGGCCCCCUGGACAAAGACUGACGCUCAGGUGCGAAAGCGUGGGGAGCAAACAGGAUUAGAUACCCUGGUAGUCCACGCCGUAAACGAUGUCGAUUUGGAGGUUGUGCCCUUGAGGCGUGGCUUCCGGAGCUAACGCGUUAAAUCGACCGCCUGGGGAGUACGGCCGCAAGGUUAAAACUCAAAUGAAUUGACGGGGGCCCGCACAAGCGGUGGAGCAUGUGGUUUAAUUCGAUGCAACGCGAAGAACCUUACCUGGUCUUGACAUCCACAGAACUUUCCAGAGAUGGAUUGGUGCCUUCGGGAACUGUGAGACAGGUGCUGCAUGGCUGUCGUCAGCUCGUGUUGUGAAAUGUUGGGUUAAGUCCCGCAACGAGCGCAACCCUUAUCCUUUGUUGCCAGCGGUUCGGCCGGGAACUCAAAGGAGACUGCCAGUGAUAAACUGGAGGAAGGUGGGGAUGACGUCAAGUCAUCAUGGCCCUUACGACCAGGGCUACACACGUGCUACAAUGGCAUAUACAAAGAGAAGCGACCUCGCGAGAGCAAGCGGACCUCAUAAAGUAUGUCGUAGUCCGGAUUGGAGUCUGCAACUCGACUCCAUGAAGUCGGAAUCGCUAGUAAUCGUAGAUCAGAAUGCUACGGUGAAUACGUUCCCGGGCCUUGUACACACCGCCCGUCACACCAUGGGAGUGGGUUGCAAAAGAAGUAGGUAGCUUAACCUUCGGGAGGGCGCUUACCACUUUGUGAUUCAUGACUGGGGUGAAGUCGUAACAAGGUAACCGUAGGGGAACCUGCGGUUGGAUCACCU